rnacentral:lncRNA from 1 species
UAUAGAUGAUAUUAAUAAUAAAAACAGCUUUAUUAGUAAGGAUUAUUUAUAUAGUGGCCUAACUAAUGAUGAUGUUAUUCUAGAAUUGGAUAAUGAAGACAAUGCUUCCAUCACUCAUGAUGAAAAAUUAAAAGAUAAUCGUAUCAAUUUCAAUAAACAAAUAUUCAGCAAUAUUAAAUAUGUAUCACACAAAAUACAUGAAAAUAUAAAUGACAAUAUUUAUACCACUAUACAAAAUGGUGAACAUAGCAUAGAGCAUGAAAAUUCACAUAAACCAUUUAACAAUAAUGUGCAUAUACAUAGUAAUAGAAAUUCUUUUAUAAAUGCUAAUAACAAUUUUAAUACGAAUAAUAAAGAACAAACAAUGGAAAAAGGCAACAGCAACGUGCUAACAAGAAGCAAUUCAUUGAAAAGUGAUAUGUGUUAUCAAAAUAAUGAUGAUAUGCAUAUUUAUAAGAGCCACACAACCAAUCAUAACAACUACGGUAAGGUAGGUAAUAAUAUGAUAUAUAAUAACAACAAUCAUAAUAGAUUUAUGAAUGUAGACAAUAGAAAUCUAAAUUAUCGAAGUGGUUAUAGCAUAAAUAAUAAAAACGGUCAUAACUUAGAUAGUUGCCUUAACAUGGCUUACAGAAAUAGCACAAAUAAUUAUACACAUUAUAACAAUAUUAAAAAGUCGAAAUGGCCACAAAAUUCAGAACAGCCAAAACAUAGUAACACACAAUCGUUUUAUGAUAUGAUUGAAUUAACAAAUUAUACUAAAAAUUAUAGAAAUUUUGUAAGGGCACCUGUAAUAAAAUUAUUUUUUGGAAAUUUGGCACCUAUAACUACAGAAAAGGAUAUGCACAAUUUAUUUAGUACUUUUGGAAAAUGUGAUUCAUUGAUUAUUUUAAAAGAUAGGAAAUAUAAAUCAAGAGGUUCAGGUUUUGUUACAUUUUAUAACAUAGAUGAUGCUGUAAAUGCAAUAAAAACUUUAAAUAACAAAAUAAUUCUAUCAGGCGCACAUAAACCAUUAGAAGUUCGAUUUCCUGAAAACAGAGUAGAAAAAAGAUUAAGAACGAAACUGUUACAUGUAGCCAAAUGGAACGGAGCUAAAAUUGCUCCAAGUGGUUGUUUACUUACAAAAACAGAAGAUAUAUUAAAUAAAAAAACGGAAAUUAUAAAGAAUCCAAAUACUUCUACAUCUACUUCUACUUCUACUUCCAACCCAAAAAAUUCUUCUUAUUUUUGUUCUAAUUAUACUAAUACUUGUUAUGAUAACAAAGAAAACGCUUACUUCGACUUUUUAUGUGAUAACAAUAUAAGGAAUUCUAUUGCUGAUCAAUUAGAUU